AGCGAACGCUGGCGGCAGGCCUAACACAUGCAAGUCGAGCGCCGUAGCAAUACGGAGCGGCAGACGGGAGAGUAACACGUGGGAACGUACCCUUUGGUUCGGAACAACCCAGGGAAACUUGGGCUAAUACCGGAUAAGCCCUCACGGGGAAAGAUUCAUCGCCGAAGGAUCGGCCCGCGUCUGAUUAGCUAGUUGGUGGGGUAAUGGGCCACCAAGGCGACGAUCAGUAGCUGGUCUGAGAGGAUGAUCAGCCUCACUGGGACUGGGACACGGCCCAGACUCCUACGGGAGGCAGCAGUGGGGAAUAUUGGACAAUGGGCGCAAGCCUGAUCCAGCCAUGCCGCGUGGGUGAUGAAGGCCCUAGGGUUGUAAAGCCCUUUCGGCGGGGAAGAUAAUGACGGUACCCGCAGAAGAAGCCCCGGCUAACUUCGUGCCAGCAGCCGCCGUAACAC
rnacentral:rRNA from 1 species